UGGUCUCUACGGUGUUCGAUAGGCAGCCUCUUUGAAAAAGAACCGAUACCUCAUUAUUUGGGAAGUCACGUCCGCGGCGCUUAGUCGCCCGGCAACUGCCCACCUGAAAUAAUGGGUUCUGCUUUCUGAGGCUGUUACCGGCACAGAGGUGGAGGCCAU
rnacentral:other from 1 species